rnacentral:rRNA from 1 species
GGACCCGCACAAGCGGUGGAGUAUGUGGUUUAAUUCGAUGCAACGCGAAAAACCUUACCAGGGUUUGAAAUCAUUUCAAAACUCCUUGAAAGAGGAGCCUCCUUCGGGAUGAAAUGACAGGUGGUGCAUGGCUGUCGUCAGCUCGUGUUGUGAAAUGUCGAGUUAAGUCUCGUAACGAGCGCAACCCAUGUCUCUUGUUGCUCUUUGAGUGCUUAAGAGAGACUGCCGACCAACAUCGGAGGAAGGUGUGGAUGAUGUCAAGUCAGCAUGCCCCUUACAUCCUGGGCUACACACGUACUACAAUGGUAAGGACAAUGAGCUGCAAGCCUGCGAAGGUUAGCCAAUCUCAAAAACCUUAUCUCAGUUCGGAUUGCACUCUGCAACUCGAGUGCAUG